GUGGCGAGGAGGCGCCCAGGCGGAGGCGGCGGCGGGCGGAGGAGCGCAGGAGCGGGCGGCCAGGCCACCGCGCGGCGGCGGAGCGGGCCGCGGCCCGGCGCUCCUUCCCCACCGCGGCCCGACGCACCCCGGCCGCCGCCAUGAGCGGCUCCUCAGGCACCCCGUAUCUGGGCAGCAAGAUCAGCCUCAUCUCCAAGGCACAGAUCCGCUACGAGGGCAUUCUCUACACCAUCGACACCGACAACUCCACCGUGGCGCUCGCCAAAGUGAGGUCCUUUGGCACUGAAGACCGUCCCACAGAUAGGCCUGCGCCCCCCAGAGAGGAGAUUUAUGAGUACAUCAUUUUCCGAGGAAGUGACAUCAAGGAUAUCACUGUGUGUGAACCUCCGAAAGCUCAGCACACACUCCCGCAGGAUCCCGCCAUUGUUCAGCUGAACAAGCGCCCUGAUGAAGGCGUGCGGGGUGAUGGGAUGGCCUUCGCCGUUCUCACCCGAUGUCUCGUUGUUCAGUCUUCCCUGGGUUCUGCCUCCGCCUCGCCCUUCCAGCCGCACGUGCCUUACAGCCCUUUCCGAGGGAUGGCGCCCUACGGCCCGCUGGCGGCCAGCUCCCUGCUCAGCCAGCAGUAUGCCGCCUCCCUGGGUCUAGAGAAGUUGGUAAGCCCUCCAGCCUCAGCCGCUGCUUCCAGCCCUAGCUCUUCUCCAUCUCCACAGCCCGUUUCAGAGCUUGACUUGUCCUCAGAGCCACAGCAGCUCACUGCCAAGGGGUGCCUUUUCUGUUUCAGAUCUCUGUUCACUUACACCCAGUCCCACAUUGUCCUGUUUAGAGUCCCUACAGGUCCUGGAACCUUGGAAAGGGAGGAGAUGGAGAGAGGAGCUGGUUUUCCAUCCAUCCCAGUCGGCAAGAGCCCCAUGGUGGAGCAGGCUGUGCAGACUGGUUCUGCUGACAACCUGAAUGCUAAAAAGCUGUUACCUGGCAAGGGCACCACAGGGACGCAGCUCAACGGUCGUCAGGCCCAGCCGAGCAGCAAGACGGCCAGCGAUGUAGUCCAGCCGGCAGCUGUGCAAGCUCAAGGGCAGGUGAAUGACGAGAACAGAAGACCUCAGAGGAGGCGAUCAGGAAACAGGCGAACAAGGAAUCGCUCCAGAGGGCAAAACCGUCCAACUAACGUCAAGGAAAACACAAUCAAAUUUGAGGGUGACUUUGAUUUCGAGAGUGCAAAUGCCCAGUUCAACCGAGAGGAGCUUGACAAAGAAUUUAAGAAGAAACUGAAUUUUAAAGAUGACAAGGCUGAGAAGGGGGAAGAGAAGGACCUGGCUGUGGUGACCCAGAGUGCCGAAGCGCCCGCUGAGGAAGACCUUCUGGGGCCCAACUGCUACUAUGACAAAUCCAAGUCGUUCUUCGACAACAUCUCUUCUGAACUCAAGACCAGAUUGAGCGCCAGACAUGCCGCGGGGCGUUGAGGGGGCCUCAGAAGGCAGGCUGGAGAGCGCCACCUCUUCAGGUUCAUGUUCUGCCAGGGGAAAAAUAGAACAGCAUGUUGUGAAGGCCAGGCAGUGAGGGCGAUGGGAUGGGGCUGUGGACUCGAUGGGAAGUGGAUGAUCAGUUCUCACAGGCAGAGCAGGCUGUGCAGGUGAGUGCGGGAAGUGCUUCCAGACAGGCUGAGUCUGGGGGAUGGGUUCCUGUAGGGUUUUGUAGGGCAUGGCAGUGACUUUGGCUUUUGUUCCAAGUGCCGCGGGAAGCCAUCAGAGGGUUUUGUGCUGAAGCGUGGUGCGGUCUGAUGUUUUACGGCGUCCUUGGUGAGAGUGGUUGGACGGUGGGCAAGUGUGGCUGCUGACUGGCCAGUUAGGGGCCAGUGCUGCAGCACAGGUGGCUUGGAACCAGGCAGUGGUGGUGACAGAGGGAAGGAGUAGAGUCUAAAUGUAUCUUGAAGGUGGCGCUAACAGAAUUGGCCAACAUGACAAGAGAAGAGUCCAGAAUGACUCCUAAGUCUUUUGGCCUGGGCGGCUGAUGGGUGGAGUUGCUGUUUCUUUGAACACGGAAGUCUGUGGGAGCAGCAGGUUUCCGGCUGAAGAGGAGCUCAGGGUGGGUGUGUUGCUGGAGCUGUUGUCUGCGUCGGUAGGAGUGCUGGGUGGGAGUGCUGGGUGCACAGUUGGAUGUGGGAGAUAGUCUCCCACCAGCAGCUUGUUUGGGUGGCAUGAGUGUCCAUGCUGUAUCCCUGUCUUUCAAACUCCCAAAGCAGAAGCAUCACAUUCCAGGGAACUUGUUCCAUCUAUCCUAGCCCCCUCCUUGUCUAGGAGGGUCCACUUCAUGCUCCGGUCUCAGGUCUCCUGGGCCCCUGGGCCUCCCCAGGGCUCCUCUCUGUGCCCAGCGAGCAACAGCGGCUGCCUUGGUAGCCAACUAGUAUCACUGCUUGCCUGUGGUGCCAGAGAUGGUAGAGAUGGAUCCUGAUCCCCGGCCCACUGUGGAGAUAGUCCUGGUUGGAAACGUGGCAGGGAGCACCUGCAGUGCCGGAGCUGGGCUCCAGAGCUGACGGGGCCGCCCCUUCCCUGUAGUGGCCCUGCUCCAGGCGGACGACGUGGGCCGAAGAGAGGAAGCUCAACACAGAGACCUUUGGGGUGUCAGGGAGGUUUCUUCGUGGCCGCAGUUCUCGGGGCGGAUUCCGAGGAGGCAGGGGCAAUGGGACCACCCGUCGCAACCCCACUUCCCACAGGGCCGGGACUGGCAGGGUGUGAGGGUGCAGCCAAAGGCUCCUACUGAAGUGGCGCAUAACUGACGCUGUGUGUGUCAGGACGCGAGGAAAACGCUGCACUUACAGGGAGAGGUGGUCACUUUGUUUACGGAGUUUGGAAGAGACCCAUACUGCUACUUGUGUUUUGGACUUAACUGAACUUGGACAUGGUCUGAGUUAGAACCACUUGUUUUGGGGAAGUAUUCAUGGGUAACCUCUUUGAGGUCUCUCUACCUGUGUUUCCUUUUUAGUUGCGCAUAGCCUAAUUCUAAGGUUUUGGUAUUCUGCAAAAAGGUUUCUAUAGUGAAAGCUGAAUCCUUACUUUGUGACUUUUUUUUUUUUUUUUAAUGACAAGCUUUGACUUUUAAAAGUGGAACCAAAUCUGUUGGCAGAGGUGGCAGCCAAGUACAUCUCUGUAACCCAGCUGGCCCCUGGUGCUGCUGGCCUGGCACCCCCACUGCCAAGGGUGGGGUCUCAGGAGUCAGGCAGGGCCAGCACAGGGUGGUGUGUGGGGGCAGGGGUGGGUGGGUGGAGGGCACGGAAGGGGUUUUCCCAUGGAUCAUGUUGUAUAAGUGAACCAGACCACCCUGAUGGCAUCCACAGUGAUGUCAAGGUUGGGGCUGGCCAGGGGUGGGUGGACUAGAAGCAUUUGGGAGUAGUGGCCAGGGGCCCUGGACGCUAGCCACGGAGCUGCUGCACAGAGCCUGGUGUCCACAAGCUUCCAGGUUGGGGUUGGAGCCUGGGAUGAGCCCCGGCAGCGCCUUGGCCCUUCUGUGGUCCCUGCCAGCCUCUGACCUGGGCCGGUCAGUCAUUGCUGGACUCUGGCCACACACUGGCGUUCUCAUCCACUUGGAAACAAGCCAGUCUUUUCUGCAAGGUCAGUUGACCAAGAGCAUAUUUCCCCUCUGUUGUACAUCGUUGCUUUGUGUUUGUGUUGUAACAGUGGGUGGAGGGAGGGUGGGGUCUACAUUUGUUGCAUGAGUCGAUGGGUCAGAACUUUAGUAUACGCAUGCGUCCUCUGAGUGACAGGGCAUUUUGUCGAAAAUAAGCACCUUGGUAACUAAACCCCUCUAAUAGCUAUAAAGGCUUUAGUUCUGUAUUGAUUAAGUUACUGUAAAAGCUUGGGUUUAUUUUUGUAGGACUUAAUGGCUAAGAAUUAGAACAUAGCAAGGGGGCUCCUCUGUUGGAGUAAUGUAAAUUGUAAUUAUAAAUAAACAUGCAAACCUUUAAAAUUU